GGGUCUGAGGCAAGGUCUGAAUUCAUGAGGAUGAUUCUUCCUGAAUCCAGGCACAGCCCUCUAUGCAUUCUGGCAUCACCUAACUGUUUACCCAGCUUUUAUUAAAUCUGUUAUUUUUGUUUUUGAAAAUGAUUUAUUUUUUUCUUGUUCUUUUUUCCCCCAGCAACAUUUGACAUAGGCAGGUAUGUAACUCUAUCCCCUGCACCAAAUAAUGGGAUCGCUGUGACUUUAAGGCUCUCAAACACACACCUGUAUGUGACUGCAAUGAAGGAAAAUGAACCUAUACAGCUACAGGAGAUUCCAAAGACACCGACCGAGCUUGAUGGUUCUCAGAGUCCCAUCCUCUUCUACUGGACGGAGCAUUACUCUUACGGCACCUUUGCCUCUGUUGCCAAUCCAGAACUGCUUCUGGCUACCCAAAGCAAGGACGGUGAGCCAGUGAUCAUGGCAAAAGGGCUUCCUGCUCUUGUUCACUUCCUAGUGACUGAGGAGUGAAAGCACACACUGUCAGGAAGGAAAGACCUCUGCAGCUCUCUUGUCAUUAGAUCGUGUCUUUAAGAGCUGAGAGGGAACCUCAAAGGGCUUCUUGUCUGACUGCUCCAUUUUGCAGGUGGGGAAACUGCUUACCCAAGGUUAGUCAGAAAGUAAGUGUCAGAGGCAAGAUUUGAACCCACACCCUAACUACAGGGCCACCAUACUUUCUGCUGAAUCACACUACCGUAGUCUACCUGUAUGAUGAUGGUAUGUACUAUGUACACGAUGAAACCAAAUCCUUUACUCUCAGUCAUGUGCCAUGCAGAUGGCUUUAGGGUGAGCCCUUGUCAUUCUGAAUGAAUGUUUGUGAACAAGUUAUGAGAGUCCGGUGGACCCAGCACUAACUCACGAUUAUUAGUUACUAUUUUGAGAACACCCUAUAUUUUGCAAAGGGCUAAUCAUUUUAAUUAACAUUCUUCAUUACUGUUUUAUGAGGCAGACUACUGACCAUACCUACCUGAAAACAAUACUAUCAGAGAUAUUGGUAUUAUAUUAUGGAGAAGUUAAGCAAGUAAUGAGAGAAAUGGAAAAAUAUGUAGUGAAAUCAGAAUCAGAACUCACAAUCCCAGAAUCGUUUUGCCUGUUGCUUGGAAAACUUCCUGCUUCGGGUUUCAGAUAGAUAAUACACCUCAGUUUACCAUCUUCAAGAGAGUGAACAGUUCUUAUCAUUUUCCCACCUCAAUGGGAACUAGUAACAAUACCAUCAUUUCAAUAAAACAUUUUGAGAGAAUCUGAACCA
ensembl:lncRNA